rnacentral:misc_RNA from 1 species
AUCAAACAACCUUACUACAGUGCAAAAAACUAUCACAACCCAACUUGGGCACGAGCAGCUACUACACGAAAUAAAAAAAGGUGGUUAGGCUUAACGGUUGGGCAGCUGCAGAUGUCUUAAUACUAAAAAAGGAAGAAGAAUUUUCCAAAAGAAACUAAGAUAACUUAUGUUGAUUCCUGUGAUAGUUAUGUUUUAGUUUUGGCUGUUUUGAUGAGAAAAUGUUGAAGACAUAUACAUAUUUAGAAAACAUAAUUAAUUAAAACUACCUCAACAUGGAUGUUUAAUGUAAUUAGCUGUCCAUAACCCACAAAUUAAUCCUGCAAUAAAAGAGUGAAAUUUGUUUAAAUUGACGUUAGGAAGAGAGCCCACCAAUCCUAAAAAUUUAGACACUAAAGGGAAAUAACAGAAACGAACUAGAGCAGCAAGAUAGGUACAGCUUCUGCCGGAGGACGGCCACCAAUAAAAAGGCAAGCUAUUUCCUUGUCUCCUUGACUCUCUCUCUCUCUGAGGAGUUCCAGAAGCGAACUCUUUCCUUUAGGAAUUUUAAUGCUUGGCACUUUAAUGAUUUUUGUACAGACCCCCUUUGCUUUUUGAAUGCUUCUUCUGUUUUCCUGCAAAAAAAAAAACAAAAAUAAAAAAUAAAAAAUA